rnacentral:rRNA from 1 species
CUUGACAACAUAUAAGAGGUCCAGCCUGCCCAGUGACCUAGUUCAACGGCCGCGGUAUCCUAACCGUGCGAAGGUAGCGUAAUCACUUGUUCUUUAAAUGAGGACUAGUAUGAAUGGCACCACGAGGGUUAAACUGUCUCCUUUUUUUAAUCAGUGAAACUAAUCUCCCCGUGAAGAAGCGGGGAUUCUUUUAUAAGACGAGAAGACCCUAUGGAGCUUUAAACAAGUUAACACCUGCUGCUAAUCUUCACUUUCCUGAACCACCACAUUAAAUAUAGCACCUCUGAUUAACAGUUUUCGAUUGGGGUGAUCAUGGAGCAAAAAUCAACCUCCACGACGAAAAGGAACACCUCCUUGAGCCAAAAGCUACAACUUUAAGCACUAAAAAACUAACGCACUUUGACCCAAUUCUUUGAGCAACGAAC